UAUUUUCUCGAGUCAUCAAAAAUGUCCUGCGCAGUCUCGCCUACAACAUAAGCCAAUUUCUAAAAUAAAAUCUUCAAUGAAGGGAAAAUUUUGUAAAUGCGGCAACUCAGUGACGUAGGUCUUAACUAGUCCCAGAUGUUCCCAACAAUACUUAGCCCGGGUAGGCAGUGUUUGUAAUGUUCAUAUUGGCAGAGGUGAAACUUGAGGAAAGCUGUGACAUAUAGAUCGUCCCACCAAUCGAACCGACUUAAGUCGCCCAAUCCAUGCGCAGAACGUCGAAGGCGGGGAAUUCAUCUUCACAGCUGAAUCAAGGGCGUCGUUAAACCCACGUUGAGUCCAACAUUUUUUUGGUGGUAUUUUCAAACAUGUAGACUAUGUUCUAGGUUAAAUGUAAGAAGGUGAGGACGACCGUUAGUGGCCAUUAGUCCAGUCCAUAUUCGUGGUCCAACUAAGGGCUGUCUGGGUAGGUCCAAGCUCAAAAGGGACACAUAGGAGCAUUUGUGAUCUGCGGUAAAGAAAAGGAUUCAGGAGGAAUGUCGGGUGAAAGAAAAAAUCGGAAAUUUCAAUAGAUGGACGUCCAAGAUUGGAAUGAAAGAAGCAACAGACGCGACUGGAGGACUAGAAGAACAACCGGGUAGCGGCAAAACGGAAAAAAAUUAGGAAAGGGCUUUGCUAGAUACCCUCCCUAAUUACGAGUGUUCGGACGAGAAGGCAGCAAAUCAAAAAAUAAAAGUAAAAACACUUUUUAUAUAUAUAUUAACAAUUAAAAAUUUAUAUAAUACGUCUAUACAAUGCAUCAAUAAAGAUAAAUUCGUAUCCACAUAACGAAAAAAAAAAAAAAACACGAAACAUCAACUUUCUUAUAAUUUAAA